ACCUGACGGGUGGUCAAAGAUGCGAUCAGAGCAAACCUUCGUCCGAUGGGCUCUGAUCCACCUGCACUGCAGCUCUCGUCUCUCUCUGUCUAUCACUCUCUCUCUCUCUCUGUCUGUAUAACUGUUGCACUGGCUGUCCUCUUUUCUUCACACUCCUCCCGUCUGCGAUGUUGCACUGCUGGCUGCUCUUCCUGUCAG